AACGCGUAGGCAACCCUGGCCCUUCAGACGGGGGACAACAUUCCCGAAAGGGAUGGCUAAUACCGGAUACGAAGCUUCUGCCCGCAUGACGGAAGCUUGAAAGGUGCCCUCAAGCACCGCUGAAGGAUGGGCCUGCGUCCGAUUAGCUGGUUGGUGGGGUAACGGCUCACCAAGGCGACGAUCGGUAGCCGGUCUGAGAGGGAUGAACGGCCACCAUUGGGACUGAGACACGGCCCAG
rnacentral:rRNA from 1 species